GUUUAUCCCAACGCAACCUAAAACCUAGAGCUUUGAUACCACUUUAACUGUCACGCCCCGAGACCGGGCCUAGGCGAGACAGCUGACGCGCGCCUAUAGACCAGGGGCCUAUAGUCACGCAAGGCGUGAUUAAGCAGGCAUAAACCAACAGUGGAUCACAAAAGCUCAUAUAUCUACUUUACAAGUCCUUUACAUUUACAAAAUGGCUCAAAUAAAUUAUUUUCAAGUCGCCUUCCCACCCACUGGUCCAGCCUAGUCUGGGAUGACUACAUCUUUUGAACAGGCUUGAGUUACAUCGUCUGUAUCUAAAAAUAGAGAAAGCAGGGAUGAGUACGACAAGUCAUACUCAGCAAGCAGAUACUUCACUAUUCAACAAGAGUAGAAUUUAAGGAUAUUGAUACAGUAACAGCGGGUUGACUAUAUCUAAAGGAGCAUAAAUAACGUGACAAUUUGCUGGAGACAAUUUAAUUGGAAAUAGGUAAAAGAACAACAUAACCGGAUAUAAUGAAAAUGGACCAAGAAAUUAUUGGCGUCACACAUGACCGCAAGCUUCCCAACCCGGGAGUCACAGGGGUGAAAUUUCACACUUUUACGCUCUUAAGAGGGGUACUCCAACGUCGACAGUCUCAACUAGAACCACACAGGCGCUAGUAGAGCAGAGCUCUUGUACCCACUAAGACUCGAACACCUAAACCUACUGAUGUCGAUCGCUCCUAUGGAUCCAUCACCGACACGUUCCCGAACAAGGUCCGUCCUUAGUGGAGAACUCAGACAGUCCCAUACCUGAACUGUGACCGGUACAAUACGUUUGCCGUCGUGACACCAAUAUAGAUGGACAGAAUAUGACAUGGGGCUGGAUCAGCUAUAUAGGAUCACUGAAAUAUCAGCCAAGACAAUAAACCCAUGCCUUUACAUGAGUUCCUCUCGUAUCAGACUUUCCAUCAACAAAUGGAUCAUCAAGGACAACAUAUCCUUCAACAAAUGGAUUAUCAAAGACAACAUGUCCUCAAAUAAAACAGGAAUCAACAGAGGAUAAAUAAGAUUCAAGGUCUAGCAACAUAAUCAGAACGAUGAUCAGAGGAGACAACAAUAAGAUAGGAUUCAAGAAGUUAGCAAAGUAACCACUUGCCUCGGAUAAUAUGAUUUGUCCUUUAGAAUAAUAUUCUGCCAGAAGAUUAAACUCCAAUACUCCAUCAUCUUUGUAUAGAAUCUGACAAACACGCAUAUACUAAUAUUCUUCUCACGUAUGGCUCCGUUCUUCCCUCCAGCAGCAUCUACACGAUCUAUAUAUCUUCAAACAUGGACGCAUGCAUACUUGUAUUCUUCAUCUCUCUUCUCUUCGCUCUCUCUCCGCUGGUAUGCUCUAUUUCUCUCAUGCUCUCACUCUUGGUGAUGAGGAUGUGCAAAACGAGUAGCAGCAGCUAUUUAUAGAUGGUGAGCCCAGAGUGAACUCAGCCGAGCUGUUCUUGAAGCACACGAUCAUCUGGACACUACCUAUUAUGUGGCAAGCAUGCAUUGGUCUACGUGGAGAACCUGGUAAAAGAUCAAGCCGCAAUGGCCUUUGACCCUUGCCCCUUGACCCUUCGAACUGCUGCCCCUUUUGCUUGUGCAAAAGCCAAACAAACCUGACCACUAUACAAAACCUCCACGUAGAAAUUUCUUGGUCCUAAAUAUCUAAGGGUGCUGCCAGCACAACCUAGCUUCAUCUAGUACCAGGCCACGUUGGCCCUCUCAUGCAUAGGAUUUUACUUAGCUUGUAAGCAUAGUACAUACGUGUGCAUUCUCAUCAUUACAUGCAUGCACAUCUUCUAGUAUUUGGCCAUCUUCUCAUUACUAGCUAGCCUGUACUACCCACUAAUUUGUAUUACUUUGCAUGCUAAUGCCAUAACGUGAGUGCAUCGAUGCUAGUCUAUGUGCACAUAUACAUACUUACUUAGUGUGUAAUUAUAUCCAUCUAAUAUUUUAUGCAUGCAAAAAUUACAGUUCUAUUUUAAUCACUUGAAUCAAUAAUCUAGCAUAUCUUAUUUGCUCAAAUAUUUUAUGUUAAACAUAUAAUAGAAAUUUAAUUACACAUCUUAAUUUAAAUUAAUAACCCUAAAAAAUCAGGGUUAUUACAUCCUUCCCACCUUAUAAGAAUUUCGUCCCCAAAAUUCAUUUCCACUAUUUUGUUAGUGGCCAAAUAUCCUCCGAUAAUAAUUGAGAUAGCUUAUUUGAUGUGUGCUGAAUAAUUAAUUAAUAAAAUGCAAACAUGAUUUGCAAUCUUUUCUCCUUUUCAUGGAUAUAUCUACUAUAACAUAAGUUGGCAACACUAGUCAUUUUAGUUGGUAAGGUCAUUAUCAAAAAGGAUAGAUGGUGGUAUAGCAAUUGUCCCAUUACUAGAUAAAUAUCACCAGUUGUCUUAAACAAGAAAAUCUACACAAAUAACAAGUCAUGAGUCAACAAAAUGUCUAUUUAUUUCCCAUGCAUCCUCAAAUUUCAUCAAUAAUAUGUACGCUAUAUUUUUAUUUGCCUGGAUAUCUGCCAAAAAUAUUUGUGAGUAACAACACACAAACAAGUUGAGACAAGGUAUGAAAAUAAAAUCUUCAUACCUGUCACACAACACAAAUAUAUUCGACGAUCUACCCGUUUAUCCCAACGCAACCUAAAACCUAGAGCUCUGAUACCACUUUAACUGUCAUGCCCCGAGACCGGGCCUAGGCGAGAUAGCCGCCGCGCGCCUAUAGACCAGGGGCCUAUAGUCACGCAAGGCGUGAUUAAGCAGGCAUAAACCAACAAUGGAUCACAAAAGCUCAUAUAUUUACUUUACAAGUCCUUUACAUUUACAAAUUGGCUCGAAUAAAUUAUUUUCUAGUCUCCUUCCCACCCACUGGUCCAUCCUAGUCUGGGAUGACUACAUAUUUUGAACAGGCUUGAGUUACAUCGUCUGUAUCUAAAAAUAGAGAAAGCAAGGAUGAGUACGACAAGUCAUACUCAGCAAGCAGAUACUUCACUAUUCAACAAGAGUAGAAUUUAAGGAUAUUGAAACAGUAACAAUGGGUUGACUAUAUCUAAAGGAGCAUAAAUAACGUGACAAUUUGCUGGAGCCAAUUUAAUUGGAAAUAGGUAAAAGAACAACAUAACCGGAUAUAAUGAAAAUCGACCAAGAAAUUAUUGGCGUUACACAUGACCGCAAGCUUCCCAACCCGGGAGUCACUGGGGUGAAAUUUCACACUUUUACGCUCUUAAGAGGGGUACUCCGACGUCGACAGUCUCAACUAGAACCACACAGGCGCUAGUAGAGCAGAGCUCUUGUACCAACUAAGACUCGAACACCUGAACCUACUGAUGUCGAUCGCUCCGAUGGAUCCAUCACCGACACGUUCCUGAACAAGGUCCGUCCUUAGUGGAGAACUCAUACAAUCCCAUACCUGAACUGUGACCGGUACAAUACGUUUGCCGUCGUGACACCAAUAUAGAUGGACAAAAUAUGACAUGGGGCUGGAUCAGCUAUAUAGGAUCACUGAAAUAUCAGCCAAGACAAUAAACCCAUGCCUUUACAUGAGUUCCUCUUGUAUCAGACUUUCCAUCAACAAAUGGAUCAUCAAGGACAACAUAUCCUUCAACAAAUGGAUUAUCAAAGACAACAUGUCCUCAAAUAAAACAGGAAUCUACAGAGGAUAAAUAAGAUUCAAGGUCUAGCAACAUAAUUAGAACGAUGAUCACAGGAGACAACAAUAAGAUAGGAUUCAAGAAGUUAGCAAAGUAACCACUUGCCUUGGAUAAUAUGAUUUGUCCUUUAGAAUAAUAUUCUGCCAGAAGAUUAAACUCCAAUACUCCAUCAUCUUUGUAUAGAAUCUGACGAACACGCAUAUACUAAUAUUCUUCUGACGUAUGGCUCCGUUCUCCCCUCCAGCAGCAUCUACACGAUCUAUAUAUCUUCAAACAUGGACGCAUGCAUACUUGUAUUCUUCAUCUCUCUUCUCUUCGCUCUCUCUCGGCUGGUAUGCUCUAUUUCUCUCAUGCUCUCACUCUUGGUGA
rnacentral:lncRNA from 1 species